rnacentral:rRNA from 1 species
GGCGGCGUGCCUAACACAUGCAAGUCGAACGCCCUUGCUCUCGCAAGAGAGGCAGGGAGUGGCGGACGGGUGAGUAACACAUGGGUGACCUACCCCCCAGUGAGGAAUACCGGCGAGAAAUCGCCGACAAGACCGCAUAGGGUCUCUGUGGUCAAGCACAGAGAGCAAAGUCUGGCAACAGACGCUGAGGGAUGGGCCUGUGGCCGAUUAGCUAGUUGGGGGGGUAAGAGCCUCCCAAGGCGACGAUCGGUAGCUGGUCUGAGAGGACGAACAGCCACACUGGGAUUGAGAACGGCCCAGACUCCUACGGGGGGCAGCAGUGAGGAAUUUUCCGCAAUGGGGGCAACCCUGACGGAGCAACGCCGCGUGCAGGAAGACGCUUUUCGGAGUGUAAACUGCUUUUCUGUGGGACGAGCGUGGACGGUACCACAGGAAGAAGCCCCGGCUAACUACGUGCCAGCAGCCGCGGUAAUACGUAGGGGGCGAGCGUUGUCCGGAGUUACUGGGCGUAAAGGGCAUGCAGGCGGUCGGACGCGUUUCGGGUGACAGUGGGUGGCUUAACUACCCGAGCGGUCGAAAGACGGUUCGACUUGAGGACGC